ACCCGUUCUCAUCAGUCUGCGUAUAAAUAACACGACUUUACACUUUCUAUUUGCGUGUAAUGCAUACGCCAAAUGCCAUUUUUGCGUGCAUAUGAUACGCCAAUCCUUCCCAUUAAUUUCGGUGGAGAGCAGAUGCGUCCAAAUAACACGCAUCAUCUUCAGCGGCAGUGACGUCACCAGCGAGGCUCGUUCAGUUCACCUGAUGCGCGUACACCUUCAAACAGAAUUAACAGGGAACUUCAACUCCACGCUCCCAAUGCUGAUAUCGAAGAAGCUGUCAAGGGGGCUGAACAAGUCCUUCAAAGGAUCAACCCUUCACAGGAAGGCCUGUCAUGAGAUUUGAAUUUGACCAUCUUGUGCAUUUAUGAAGAAGACCAAAAGCUGCAAAGGCAAACACUUCCAAUGGCAGAAACUGAGAGUUUGCAUGAUGGCAUUUUCUCAGACGCUGAAUCUGAUGUGUACAGAUGAACUCAGGAGCCUACUAGAGUUGCCAAGGAACUUGUGCUUGAACUGAAGACCAGAAACGCAAAGAAAAUCAGUCAAACCAGUCCUAAAGAAAUGAGGAAUGAACAUGGACUUCUUGUGCCCCAAAAGAAAAGACAGAAAGCUCCUAAAAUGAGCAAAUAAACUGUG